UUAAGGAGAGCACAUUUAGCUGUUCUGAAGCCUAGAAAUCAGUGACGUGGAGAAUUAUUAUGCACAGUUCAUUUCCUUGUAAUUUAACUCUCAAGAGUAACAAAAGCAUAAUGUAUAGCCUAGUUUUCGGGUCUGAUUUACAACAAUUUAUACCAAAAGAUGAUUUCUACCUCAUCCCACCCCCUUUCUAGUCACUUCUGCUGAUAUCAGCAGCUGAGAAUUUUGUAUUUCAUCCUACCACCAUAGCCGCCUGAAAGCCACACAUCAGAGAAGAAAAUGUAAGACCUAUAGAGCUGGAUGCACAGUUUCACUUUCUGUCUCAAAUUCCAUCACAGUCUAAUCAUCUGUUUAAGAAAAAAAAAUGUUGCUUUUAAUUGUGGUGAUGUGGUUCACAUCCUCCACUACUUAAAUACUGUGAAGUCCAAAUGGGGCACAGGACUACUGUCCUCAAAGGGUUGUGGUGUCCCUUUCAAACCCAGAAGUACAAGGAGUGCACUCCAGCCUCCCCUCGGCUCACCCAUCCUCCACCCUUCCCUGCAGAUCCCAAGCCUCUUUGAUCUCCUUCCUCUGGCUCCUUGAGCACUUACAGACUCCACCAGCAAUUUAGCAUUUUGUAGCUAUUGUCUUGUUCUCUAAUUGCUUCAUAUGUGCACUUUUUUUUUCUCCCUAAGGAAAAAGAAAUAACAUUCUUUUUUUUCUUUGAGUGCUUACUUUGUCUAAAGCUCUCUGCUAAAGGUUUUACAUGUAAUUUCCUUUAAUCCUUUUAACAACCCUGUGGCUUAGAGGCAAUUGAUUUCAUUUUACAGAUGAGGAAACUGAGUCAGAGAAGUUGGAUCACUUACACAGAGUUAUACUAGAAAUAAGAGGGAGGAUUCAGACACAUUUCUUUCUAUUACAUUGUUCUGAGCCCAAAAUGAUUGUAAACCGAAAUGAGCAUCUUACUCCUCCAUACUCUCAGCAACAAGAAUGGUGGUUAGACACACACACACACUCUUAUGCACACACACACUUCUUACAAGAUAUUUAAGAUCUGUAUGAGUUAACCUUUUAUCUUAGUAAGGAAGCUAGAAAUGUCCUUAUUUUAAAAAUUAAGUAACUUGGUAAAUAUUAGCCAACUUCCCAGCCUCUUUGCAUUGGGCUUUCUCCACCAUACACUUAGUAGGAACUUCAUAUCACUCAUUGCAGUCCCAUCUUGUUGGAUGUGUGCUGUUGUUUCCUAGCUGGGCCUUCCUGACCUAGGGAAGAAGAACCCCAUGUUAUUUCAGAGAUUUAUCAUGAACCUCAGAGCCAGAACCUCUUUUAAGGGGUAUAAUCAGCUACCAGAGUAGUGGAAGAGCUGGGUCUAAUGUGAACCCAAGACUCCCAACUCCCAGCUCAAUGUCUCAUCCAUGGCAAAUAAAUGCCUUAUUGUCUUGUUUCCUCUUUAUGCUCUUCAGUUUGGAUAGAUUUGGUUUUGUGUUGGAUUUGAGUGUUUCCAGAUCCCAAUCUACUUCUCACCCCAAAUACUGGAGGGAAGGUGAGUCAGGAGGAAGACAGUGGACCACUUUCCUGGCAGUGGGAAAAAAAUAGACUAGCUAGGGAUAAGGAGCCAUCAAUAGGUCAUAGAGCCCUUUGGGUGUCACCAUGUCCCAUAUGUUUGGGAAUAGAACAUGGUAGAUGAAGGGGACUGAGUCAAAGUGUGUGUUAAUUGGAAUGAAAAUUCUUUCCAUCUGUUGAUUGGAAUUGGUACCUGAGUAAUAUAGUAGUACCCAUCAAGUAACAAGGGCUUUUCACAAACCUCUGCUACCUCCCAGAACUCUCAGCUCACUGGACCACCACAAACCACCCCUGAAAGUUGAGAAUGAAGCCACUGGAUGAAGUCAGCAGGAAUGGUUUCUAAAGACCCAGGCGAACUUACAAGCCAGGAGGUGAGCACUCAUCUAGGGAAUUCUGACCUCCAGGGAGGGGGACUGGGGACAGAGGAAUGUUGAUUUCUAACCUCUGAGACUACAUUAGUGGGACAUGUGGAACCAAUAAGGAAAUUAUCAUGGUCCCUAUAGGGUGGUUUCAAGAACUCAGAAUUUUACCACAUAUAAGAACUUAAGAUAACAAAAAAGGAAACGUCUCACACAUCUUGGGGUUUGGAAUAUUAUAGUGACUUGGGUGAAUGCUAAUGCCCAACUUUAGGGAGUGGUUUAGACGACACGAUCGUGGUCUGGAUGAUCACGACACUCUGGCCAGCUUUGACACACAUCUCUGGCUCUUUGUGCCAUUUUUUUGUAUGACAAGUUCAGGAUAAAAGAGGAGAAGUACUAGGCUUUGAGGACAGAGAAUCAGUCAGGCUUCAUUUCUGCUCUGCCUCUUAUCGCCUCUGUGACCUUGGGCCUAUGACUAUAUUUGUCUUCAUCAAAUUUCUCACAUGCAGCAUGGAAAUGAUAGUACCUACUCCUUAAAGUCAUUGUCAGUAUUAAAUAAAGCUUGAACAAUAUGAAUCCAGGAGAACACUGGAGCUAGGACUUAACAAGACAGACAUAGACACAACCCCUCAACCAUGUGGACUCACUGUAUUUACCAUAUCUUAUCACAUCUAAGACACCUGUAAGGCUAUAAGAUGUAGCAUUACUUCAUCACUGAGAAUGAAAAACAAAACAAAACAACCCACUGCCAAUGAAACUCUGCUUUCCAUUGAUUGUAAGAUCUAUCUCACAAGGGAUCUUUUAUUCAGUAAAAGAUAUUAAAAUGCAAAAAUUAAUUUAAAUUUUUUUUAUUGAAAAAGAAGCAAUUGACAGUGAAAAAGCAACCCACAGAAUAGGAGAAAAUAUUUGUGAAUUAUAUAUCUGAUACAGGCUUAAUCUCUAAAAUACAUAAACUUUUACAACUCAAUAGCAAAAAGCAAAAAACCUAACCACCUGAUUUAAAAAUGGACUAAGAAUUUGAGUAAACAUUUCUUCAAGAAAGAUAUGCAAAAGGCUGAUAGGUAUAUGAAAAGAUUGCUCAAUGUCACUAAUCAUCAGAGAAAUGCAAAGCAAAACCAUGAUGAGAUAUCACCUCAUACCUGUAAGGAUGCCUAUUAUUCCCCCCCCCCAAAAAGACAAGUGUUGGUGAGGAUAUGGAGAAAAGAAACUCCUUGUACACUAUGGAUGGGAAUGCAAAGUUAUACAGUUUCUAUGGAAAACAGUAUGACAGAGCCUCAACAACUUAAAAAUAGAGCUACCUGGUGACCCACCAAUCCCACUUCUAGGUAGUUAUCCAAAAGUAUUGAAAACAGGAUCUCAAAGAGAUAUUAGCACUUACACGUUCAUUGCAGUAUUAUACACAAUAGCCAAGAUGUGAAAACAACAUAAAUGUCCAUCAACGGAUGAAUGAAUAAAGUAACUGGCAGCUACAUAUAGUGGAAUAUUAUUCUUUCUUAAAAAAGGAGGAACUUCUGCCAUUUGUGACAUGGAUGGAUGUAGGGGGCAUUAUCCUAAGGAAAAGAAGUCAGUCACAGAAAAAAUAAAUACUGCAUUACUCCACUUGACGUUAGAGAGCUAAAAUGGUCAAAGUCAUAAAAUCCAAGAGUGGGGUGGUGUCUUCCAGGAACAAGCUUAUAUUUAGCGACUGUAUAUGUGACAUUUUAAGACUAUAAAGUCCAUCUACUAUCAUUUUUUAUAAGCUUUACUAAGCAAAAGAGUUUUUUAAGUCCCAAGGUGUCAACAUUGCUCAAAGGUCACUUAGUAAGUUUUUACCAAACACCUUAAUUAAAAUUGGAACCACCCACCAGCCCUCUCUUGCCCUCUCCCUCCUUUCCCAUGGCAUUUAUCACCUCAGGUACAUGUUUUGCUUAUAACUUAUUUAUUGUCUGCCUCCUGCAGUAGAAGGACAGACUUUUUUCAGUCCUAUUCACUGGUGUAUCUGCAGAACCUGGAGGAGUGCCUGGCACAUAAUAGGCCCUCAAAUAUUUGUGUGAACAUCAUUAAAAUGUCACACCUUUCAUUAAUAUUUCUGUCACUCAAUGCUGCUUGGAUUGAAAGCAACCUUUUAUUUCCUGAGCCUCUUAAUCUAUCUGAGCAUUCUUUUGGCUACAUUUAACUCUGGGUAAAGAAUAAAAAGGGAGGCAUACAGGAAUAAGAAAAAUGCCUUAUCAAAAAGCAAAUGAAGGCACACAAAGCCUGGCAACAAAACCAAAGGAAGAUAAUUCAGUCCUGGAAAGCUACAGUGAGAAUAUAACAAUAACAAUAAUAAUAGUAAUAGUGAUUGCUGUUAGCGGGUACCACCUGCAGACUGGGGCAUCAUUUUCCAGACAUGUAAUUAGUAUCAUAGAAUUGUCUUUCAGGAGCUUAGAUUUCCUGUGACCUGACUGGGGUAGGGGGUGGGGCGCCACGGGGAAACUGACAGGAAGAUACAUAAUAACAGGAAGUAGGAGUAGCAACAGGAAGAGGGGGAGGGGAGAGAGGAGGAAAGUGGAAGGAGCAGGCCAACAUCCAGGGCUGCAUCCCCCUCCCCCACAGCACCCCUGGAACCGGUCCCUUUGCUGCCAACGCUGCUUCCUCCCCCUGCUCCACCACCGGCAGGGGCUCAGGCAGAUUUCAUUUCCCUCACUGUCAAAUAUUUAAAAUCACCUGUCAUCUUUCCCUGGGGAAUUAGUGACAAAGCAUUUAAAAAAUUGCUUAAGAUACUGUGCUGUAAUACUUUCAAAUAGUUGGUAAAGCUUCUGAACGUCCCAGGAUAAAGGGGAUACCAGAAUCCUCCACCCUCAAAGAAAGCGCUGUAUGGGCAGGCCUGGAAAUUUGGCUGUAAGCUUCCAGCAGGAACGUGCGUGGGGGCUGGGCAGAGUGAUUCUGGGACUCCACCUCUGUAGUUUGGUCACACAGGGGCUCUUGGUCAUCUGAUGUCCUUCCACAUCUUGUACCAAGUCAAAAAUAUCCAGGUGGAGAAAUAUACCAGGGAAUCUAGGCAUAGCAACUAAAAU
rnacentral:lncRNA from 1 species